UAAGGAGUCUCUGAACAGGAAUUUGAGAAGGACUUUGACAGAGGAGGCUUACGAUGGUUAGGGAAGACCCACAACACCUGUGGCAGCACUG